GGAGAAGUGGUGUAAUGAGAUAGCAAACUGGCCACUCUUCCUGCGCCAUGCUCUGCCCAUGUGGCAGGUGGCUCCCGUAAUGCCCGUUACUGUGCUCAGAAUGCACACGCUGCUGUUGGCAGGAAAGUGAAGCUGUCUGUGCAUGUGAACCUGCCCUGCCUUCCUCACUCUCCCAUUGACUGCUGGGGCCCUGGGGUGGAGGGAGACAGAGCUCCCUCCCUGGCUGUGCUGCCCUGACUCUUGCCCACCUGCAGCCCCUCAGGAGUUUUGCUGUCACACAGGUUGGCUGGUGAGCCAUGUCCACUUUCUCUCUGGUUAAUGCAGCCCAGAGCUGUGCGUCUCCCUCCCCUGGACCCUGCAGCCCGCUGCAUCCCUGGGAGCAGCAGGGAACAAACACCUCUCACUGGCUAAUGGUUUGAGCCACUCUUCCUGGGCGGGGAGGUGGGGCUGCUUGGCAGGCGCCAGAGUGAAGCACCUGUACUACAUGCAUCUUCGGCAGUAAUUAGUGCCGAGCACAGGCAUCCCCCUCCCCACUCCGGCUCCCUGCAGGGCGAUCACGGCUGCGGAGAGCAGACAGACAGGGGUUCUGCUGGUGCGAGCGCCUCCCUGGCUGAAGAUGGCAGGUUGGGAACGCUGGGUCGCUCCAGGCCGAGGGUUCCUCCUGCUCUGCAUUUUGACUCUGCAUUUUAGCUCUUGGAAUCCUGUUGCAUCAGCAGAGCAGAGCUCUACUCCUGCUAUGCUUUCGGUCACCACCCCCUCUGUUCCGGAGACUUCCCCUAUUUCCAGCACCUGGAUGGUCUCCAACCACUCUGCGAAUUGGACAGAAGACACACCUCUCACCUGCCAGAGUUUUCAGUGCUCUGGAGAGAGAUGCUACCAGGACGAAGCUUAUGCCAAUCACACCGUGACCUGCCACAAUGAGACUCACUGUGAGCUCUAUCGUCUGACCCACACAAACUACACAGCCAAGUGCAGCAGUGAGUGUGGGAGAGGGAACGGCACCGAGAUGUGUGUGACCAACAGCAGCGUGAGCAUGAGCAAGUGCGUCCUGGAGUGCUGCAACUCGUCCCUGUGCCUGCAACUCAAUGCCACCACCUACGGUGACUUGCCGCCCACCACCACUCCAGCUCCCACAACCACCACCACGAAGCCCCCUCCCAGAAAUGUAAGUAUUGCCUUCCAGCAUGAUCAGACAGCAGAGCUGUGUAGGCAUGUUGCCAGUGGGAAUGCUAAGCUGAGUAGUGUUGCCGUGAACUGUUAAACUGUGGUGUUCCACCCCAGAAAUGGCUGCCUUUUACUGGUGGAUGAAAUGUUCCUCAUGCUAUCUGCUCUCAAAGGUCAAUA
rnacentral:lncRNA from 1 species